CACACUAUCAUUAACUGAAUCCAUAGGUUAAUGAGGCGAACCGGGGGAACUGAAACAUCUAAGUACCCCGAGGAAAAGAAAUCAACCGAGAUUCCCCCAGUAGCGGCGAGCGAACGGGGAGCAGCCCAGAGCCUGAAUCAGUGUGUGUGUUAGUGGAAGCGUCUGGAAAGGCGCGCGAUACAGGGUGACAGCCCCGUACACAAAAAUGCACAUGCUGUGAGCUCGAUGAGUAGGGCGGGACACGUGGUAUCCUGUCUGAAUAUGGGGGGACCAUCCUCCAAGGCUAAAUACUCCUGACUGACCGAUAGUGAACCAGUACCGUGAGGGAAAGGCGAAAAGAACCCCGGCGAGGGGAGUGAAAAAGAACCUGAAACCGUGUACGUACAAGCAGUGGGAGCACAGAGCAAUCUGUGUGACUGCGUACCUUUUGUAUAAUGGGUCAGCGACUUAUAUUCUGUAGCAAGGUUAACCGAAUAGGGGAGCCGAAGGGAAACCGAGUCUUAACUGGGCGUUAAGUUGCAGGGUAUAGACCCGAAACCCGGUGAUCUAGCCAUGGGCAGGUUGAAGGUUGGGUAACACUAACUGGAGGACCGAACCGACUAAUGUUGAAAAAUUAGCGGAUGACUUGUGGCUGGGGGUGAAAGGCCAAUCAAACCGGGAGAUAGCUGGUUCUCCCCGAAAGCUAUUUAGGUAGCGCCUCGUGAAUUCAUCUCCGGGGGUAGAGCACUGUUUCGGCAAGGGGGUCAUCCCGACUUACCAACCCGAUGCAAACUGCGAAUACCGGAGAAUGUUAUCACGGGAGACACACGGCGGGUGCUAACGUCCGUCGUGAAGAGGGAAACAACCCAGACCGCCAGCUAAGGUCCCAAAGUCAUGGUUAAGUGGGAAACGAUGUGGGAAGGCCCAGACAGCCAGGAUGUUGGCUUAGAAGCAGCCAUCAUUUAAAGAAAGCGUAAUAGCUCACUGGUCGAGUCGGCCUGCGCGGAAGAUGUAACGGGGCUAAACCAUGCACCGAAGCUGCGGCAGCGACGCUUAUGCGUUGUUGGGUAGGGGAGCGUUCUGUAAGCCUGUGAAGGUGUGCUGUGAGGCAUGCUGGAGGUAUCAGAAGUGCGAAUGCUGACAUAAGUAACGAUAAAGCGGGUGAAAAGCCCGCUCGCCGGAAGACCAAGGGUUCCUGUCCAACGUUAAUCGGGGCAGGGUGAGUCGACCCCUAAGGCGAGGCCGAAAGGCGUAGUCGAUGGGAAACAGGUUAAUAUUCCUGUACUUGGUGUUACUGCGAAGGGGGGACGGAGAAGGCUAUGUUGGCCGGGCGACGGUUGUCCCGGUUUAAGCGUGUAGGCUGGUUUUCCAGGCAAAUCCGGAAAAUCAAGGCUGAGGCGUGAUGACGAGGCACUACGGUGCUGAAGCAACAAAUGCCCUGCUUCCAGGAAAAGCCUCUAAGCAUCAGGUAACAUCAAAUCGUACCCCAAACCGACACAGGUGGUCAGGUAGAGAAUACCAAGGCGCUUGAGAGAACUCGGGUGAAGGAACUAGGCAAAAUGGUGCCGUAACUUCGGGAGAAGGCACGCUGAUAUGUAGGUGAAGUCCCUCGCGGAUGGAGCUGAAAUCAGUCGAAGAUACCAGCUGGCUGCAACUGUUUAUUAAAAACACAGCACUGUGCAAACACGAAAGUGGACGUAUACGGUGUGACGCCUGCCCGGUGCCGGAAGGUUAAUUGAUGGGGUUAGCGGUAACGCGAAGCUCUUGAUCGAAGCCCCGGUAAACGGCGGCCGUAACUAUAACGGUCCUAAGGUAGCGAAAUUCCUUGUCGGGUAAGUUCCGACCUGCACGAAUGGCGUAAUGAUGGCCAGGCUGUCUCCACCCGAGACUCAGUGAAAUUGAACUCGCUGUGAAGAUGCAGUGUACCCGCGGCAAGACGGAAAGACCCCGUGAACCUUUACUAUAGCUUGACACUGAACAUUGAGCCUUGAUGUGUAGGAUAGGUGGGAGGCUUUGAAGUGUGGACGCCAGUCUGCAUGGAGCCGGCCUUGAAAUACCACCCUUUAAUGUUUGAUGUUCUAACGUUGGCCCCUGAUCGGGGUUGCGGACAGUGUCUGGUGGGUAGUUUGACUGGGGCGGUCUCCUCCUAAAGAGUAACGGAGGAGCACGAAGGUUGGCUAAUCCUGGUCGGACAUCAGGAGGUUAGUGCAAUGGCAUAAGCCAGCUUGACUGCGAGCGUGACGGCGCGAGCAGGUGCGAAAGCAGGUCAUAGUGAUCCGGUGGUUCUGAAUGGAAGGGCCAUCGCUCAACGGAUAAAAGGUACUCCGGGGAUAACAGGCUGAUACCGCCCAAGAGUUCAUAUCGACGGCGGUGUUUGGCACCUCGAUGUCGGCUCAUCACAUCCUGGGGCUGAAGUAGGUCCCAAGGGUAUGGCUGUUCGCCAUUUAAAGUGGUACGCGAGCUGGGUUUAGAACGUCGUGAGACAGUUCGGUCCCUAUCUGCCGUGGGCGCUGGAGAACUGAGGGGGGCUGCUCCUAGUACGAGAGGACCGGAGUGGACGCAUCACUGGUGUUCGGGUUGUCAUGCCAAUGGCACUGCCCGGUAGCUAAAUGCGGAAGAGAUAAGUGCUGAAAGCAUCUAAGCACGAAACUUGCCCCGAGAUGAGUUCUCCCUGACUCCUUGAGAGUCCUGAAGGAACGUUGAAGACGACGACGUUGAUAGGCCGGGUGUGUAAGCGCAGCGAUGCGUUGAGCUAACCGGUACUAAUGAACCGUGAGGCUUAACCUU
rnacentral:rRNA from 1 species